GGGUUGUGAGGUUAAGCGACUAAGCGUACACGGUGGAUGCCCUGGCAGUCAGAGGCGAUGAAGGACGUGCUAAUCUGCGAUAAGCGUCGGUAAGGUGAUAUGAACCGUUAUAACCGGCGAUUUCCGAAUGGGGAAACCCAGUGUGUUUCGACACACUAUCAUUAACUGAAUCCAUAGGUUAAUGAGGCGAACCGGGGGAACUGAAACAUCUAAGUACCCCGAGGAAAAGAAAUCAACCGAGAUUCCCCCAGUAGCGGCGAGCGAACGGGGAGCAGCCCAGAGCCUGAAUCAGUGUGUGUGUUAGUGGAAGCGUCUGGAAAGGCGCGCGAUACAGGGUGACAGCCCCGUACACAAAAAUGCACAUAUUGUGAGCUCGAUGAGUAGGGCGGGACACGUGGUAUCCUGUCUGAAUAUGGGGGGACCAUCCUCCAAGGCUAAAUACUCCUGACUGACCGAUAGUGAACCAGUACCGUGAGGGAAAGGCGAAAAGAACCCCGGCGAGGGGAGUGAAAAAGAACCUGAAACCGUGUACGUACAAGCAGUGGGAGCCUCUUUAUGGGGUGACUGCGUACCUUUUGUAUAAUGGGUCAGCGACUUAUAUUCUGUAGCAAGGUUAACCGAAUAGGGGAGCCGAAGGGAAACCGAGUCUUAACUGGGCGUUAAGUUGCAGGGUAUAGACCCGAAACCCGGUGAUCUAGCCAUGGGCAGGUUGAAGGUUGGGUAACACUAACUGGAGGACCGAACCGACUAAUGUUGAAAAAUUAGCGGAUGACUUGUGGCUGGGGGUGAAAGGCCAAUCAAACCGGGAGAUAGCUGGUUCUCCCCGAAAGCUAUUUAGGUAGCGCCUCGUGAAUUCAUCUCCGGGGGUAGAGCACUGUUUCGGCAAGGGGGUCAUCCCGACUUACCAACCCGAUGCAAACUGCGAAUACCGGAGAAUGUUAUCACGGGAGACACACGGCGGGUGCUAACGUCCGUCGUGAAGAGGGAAACAACCCAGACCGCCAGCUAAGGUCCCAAAGUCAUGGUUAAGUGGGAAACGAUGUGGGAAGGCCCAGACAGCCAGGAUGUUGGCUUAGAAGCAGCCAUCAUUUAAAGAAAGCGUAAUAGCUCACUGGUCGAGUCGGCCUGCGCGGAAGAUGUAACGGGGCUAAACCAUGCACCGAAGCUGCGGCAGCGACGCUUAUGCGUUGUUGGGUAGGGGAGCGUUCUGUAAGCCGUUGAAGGUGGCCUGUGAGGGUUGCUGGAGGUAUCAGAAGUGCGAAUGCUGACAUAAGUAACGAUAAAGCGGGUGAAAAGCCCGCUCGCCGGAAGACCAAGGGUUCCUGUCCAACGUUAAUCGGGGCAGGGUGAGUCGACCCCUAAGGCGAGGCCGAAAGGCGUAGUCGAUGGGAAACAGGUUAAUAUUCCUGUACUUGGUGUUACUGCGAAGGGGGGACGGAGAAGGCUAUGUUGGCCGGGCGACGGUUGUCCCGGUUUAAGCGUGUAGGCUGGUUUUCCAGGCAAAUCCGGAAAAUCAAGGCUGAGGCGUGAUGACGAGGCACUACGGUGCUGAAGCAACAAAUGCCCUGCUUCCAGGAAAAGCCUCUAAGCAUCAGGUAACAUCAAAUCGUACCCCAAACCGACACAGGUGGUCAGGUAGAGAAUACCAAGGCGCUUGAGAGAACUCGGGUGAAGGAACUAGGCAAAAUGGUGCCGUAACUUCGGGAGAAGGCACGCUGAUAUGUAGGUGAAGCGACUUGCUCGUGGAGCUGAAAUCAGUCGAAGAUACCAGCUGGCUGCAACUGUUUAUUAAAAACACAGCACUGUGCAAACACGAAAGUGGACGUAUACGGUGUGACGCCUGCCCGGUGCCGGAAGGUUAAUUGAUGGGGUCAGCCGCAAGGCGAAGCUCUUGAUCGAAGCCCCGGUAAACGGCGGCCGUAACUAUAACGGUCCUAAGGUAGCGAAAUUCCUUGUCGGGUAAGUUCCGACCUGCACGAAUGGCGUAAUGAUGGCCAGGCUGUCUCCACCCGAGACUCAGUGAAAUUGAACUCGCUGUGAAGAUGCAGUGUACCCGCGGCAAGACGGAAAGACCCCGUGAACCUUUACUAUAGCUUGACACUGAACAUUGAGCCUUGAUGUGUAGGAUAGGUGGGAGGCUUUGAAGCGUGGACGCCAGUCUGCGUGGAGCCGACCUUGAAAUACCACCCUUUAAUGUUUGAUGUUCUAACGUGGACCCGUGAUCCGGGUUGCGGACAGUGUCUGGUGGGUAGUUUGACUGGGGCGGUCUCCUCCUAAAGAGUAACGGAGGAGCACGAAGGUUGGCUAAUCCUGGUCGGACAUCAGGAGGUUAGUGCAAUGGCAUAAGCCAGCUUGACUGCGAGCGUGACGGCGCGAGCAGGUGCGAAAGCAGGUCAUAGUGAUCCGGUGGUUCUGAAUGGAAGGGCCAUCGCUCAACGGAUAAAAGGUACUCCGGGGAUAACAGGCUGAUACCGCCCAAGAGUUCAUAUCGACGGCGGUGUUUGGCACCUCGAUGUCGGCUCAUCACAUCCUGGGGCUGAAGUAGGUCCCAAGGGUAUGGCUGUUCGCCAUUUAAAGUGGUACGCGAGCUGGGUUUAGAACGUCGUGAGACAGUUCGGUCCCUAUCUGCCGUGGGCGCUGGAGAACUGAGGGGGGCUGCUCCUAGUACGAGAGGACCGGAGUGGACGCAUCACUGGUGUUCGGGUUGUCAUGCCAAUGGCACUGCCCGGUAGCUAAAUGCGGAAGAGAUAAGUGCUGAAAGCAUCUAAGCACGAAACUUGCCCCGAGAUGAGUUCUCCCUGAGACUUUAAGUCUCCUGAAGGAACGUUGAAGACGACGACGUUGAUAGGCCGGGUGUGUAAGCGCAGCGAUGCGUUGAGCUAACCGGUACUAAUGAACCGUGAGGCUUAACCUUACAACGCCGAAG
rnacentral:rRNA from 1 species